AUUGAACGCUGGCGGCAUGCUUUACACAUGCAAGUCGAACGGUAACAGGCCUUCGGGUGCUGACGAGUGGCGAACGGGUGAGUAAUGCAUCGGAACGUGCCCAAUCGUGGGGGAUAACGUAGCGAAAGUUACGCUAAUACCGCAUAAGCCCUGAGGGGGGAAAGUGGGGGGACCGCAAGGCCUCACGCGAAUGGAGCGGCCGAUGUCAGAUUAGCUAGUUGGUAGGGUAAAGGCCUACCAAGGCCACGAUCGGUAGCUGGUCUGAGAGGAUGAUCAGCCACACUGGGACUGAGACACGGCCCAGACUCCUACGGGAGGCAGCAGUGGGGAAUAUUGGACAAUGGGCGCAAGCCUGAUCCAGCAAUGCCGCGUGUGUGAAGAAGGCCUGCGGGUUGUAAAGCACUUUCAGUGGGGAAGAACAGAUUCGGGUCAAUACCCCGGAGCCCUGACGUUACCCACAGAAGAAGCACCGGCUAACUCCGU
rnacentral:rRNA from 1 species